rnacentral:rRNA from 1 species
UGCUGCAUGGUUGUCGUCAGCUCGUGCCGUGAGGUGUCGGGUUAAGUCCCAUAACGAGCGCAACCCACGUCGUUAGUUGCCAACAGGUCAAGCUGGGAAACUCUAACGAGACUGCCGGUGUAAACCGCGAGGAAGGUGGGGAUGACGUCAAGUCCUCAUGGCCUUUAUGCCCAGGGCUACACACGUGCUACAAUGGGUGGUACAAAGAGCAGCCAGCUCGCGAGAGUGAGCAAAUCUCAAAAAAGCCAUCCUCAGUUCGGAUUGAAGUCUGCAACUCGACUUCAUGAAGUUGGAAUCGCUAGUAAUCGCGGAUCAGCAUGCCGCGGUCGAAUACGUUCCCGGGCCUU